UUGCGGCCAUAUCACGUUAAAACACCGGUUUCCUGUACGAUCACUAAAGUUAAGCAACGUCGAGCCUGGUCAGUACCUAGAUGGGUGACCGCUUUUGAAUAUCAGCUGCUGUAAG